CUGAUAUUCAGUCGUGUUUUUUGAUAUUUUUGUUAUUUUGUAAUCGAGUACCUUUUUAAAGGUCUAAUGGCUCCCAUCAGGUGUUGUGUGCAGAUGGUGGAAAAAUUCAACGAGUAAACAUAUAUUUAAUCCAAAUUAAAUACUCAUAUUUCUAUGUAAAAUGUCACAUUAUUGUAUAAAUAAAUAAUUAAGAAACAAAA
rnacentral:lncRNA from 1 species